rnacentral:rRNA from 1 species
AAAACUUAAUAAUUACAACUUUCAACAACGGAUCUCUUGGUUCUGGCAUCGAUGAAGAACGCAGCGAAAUGCGAUAAGUAGUGUGAAUUGCAGAAUUCAGUGAAUCAUCGAAUCUUUGAACGCACAUUGCGCCCCUUGGUAUUCCAUGGGGCAUGCCU